ensembl:lncRNA
GCCUGAUUAUGAGAUCAGCUCCCAAGGAAGCCUGAGCAGCUCAAAGUCUCCGAACUGGCCUCCUGACCCUCUCUGUGCAUCCCCUUCUGUUUCCUCCCUGAAGCCGAGCAGAAAACUCUGGCCGUGUCACUCCCCACUUUAAAAUCCAUCAGUGCUUCCCUCCUGCCCAGGGGAUAACAUCCCCAAGCUUUGCCCACAGAUAAGACCCUUCCUCAUCUCCUCCUUGACGCCUUUCCAGGAGCCUCCAGUUUCUAGCCUGCUGGUCCCAGGAAGAAGAUAAGAGACUCACGGAGCAGGACUGCCUGACCAGGUCCAGCCCAGAUCAGCUGACUCUCAGCCAGUUCACAGAAGCAUGAACUAAAUAAGUGCUCCUGGAGCCAACGAUGAGUGGUGUCCACCUUACUCCAUCCUCAUCCACCUUGUCUCCCAGGCCCAUCACUGGCACUCCAUUGGCCCAACCCAUCUACCAAGAACAAGCUUCAGGGCCAGCAGCAUCUGCACUGAAGAGGCACUCACUCUGCGCCAGGCACUAUCCUAUUACACACCUAAUGCAGAGGGACAGCACCAGCAUGGUAACUUCCACUUCUGCCCCACUGCAAGUGCUAGACCACCCCGAGGAGACAGUGGUGUUUCUGACCACCCCCAAGAAAUGUGUCACAUGUGCUGAGUACAAAGUACUAGUCCAGUCGGCCACCCAUGGGCAUCCUCUUUGCCAGGUGGUGCCAACCUUUCCCCUAGAUUCCUCCCCACUGACCAGUCCUUGGGACCGACACUGGUCCCCUCUGCACUCCAGGCUCUCAACCCAAGAGGGGCCACAUCCGCAACACAGUUGACCAGCCAGGAAAGAAAAAUCUCUGUAUUAGUUGACACUAGCUGCUAUGCAGAUAAAUAACUAAAUCUUAUGGACCAAACACAAUAAAAGUGUAUCUCUUGUUCACAGCACAGCCCAAAAGGGAGUUGGCUCCCUGCCAAUUCGUAAACCCAGGCUC